rnacentral:sRNA from 1 species
UGUGUGUGGGAAGCAGAGAUGGGAAGAUUGAUGGGACUUGCUGGCUACCAAUCCAGCUCAGGUAGACUAUGUCUCAAAGAAAUAGGCAGGCAGUGACGGGGAACAGGAUACUCAUGUGGGGCAGCGGAUCGUGCCAGGAAAGGCUGAGUGGGUUCAGGGACCCCAACACCCAUCUGAGGAUACUAGGUGUUUCCCUGCUCCCUACAGACUCCUGGCCUGGAACACGUGACCACACUCCCCACAUAGGCAUGUGAGGGCCAGGUAGCACAAAACAGAGUUCGAAUGAGCUGAUGGGCCCUGGGGAUUUAAGCAAACUUUCUUUCCCAGACAUUCCGUCCUACGAAGGGCAUUGACCUCUGGCCCGCCCUGAGGACGUGGUAUGCACCCAUUUUCCAAGAUGGAACAGUGAAUAAAGGUCUGAGUAAUCAUGGACUGCCUCUCUCAUUAAGAACUGCCAUGAGCAUCGUGGAGGGAGCCUUUGUCUACAGAGCUUCCAAGUCUAAGUCUCCUGCAAAAGGCCCCUCCUUGCUAGUCAGUCAUUGUCUCUGUCGUCGUCCCCCGUCCCUAUCCCCAGGCUUAUCUUCAGCCAUUGGGCCCCCAACUCGUCCUUGCAAUUUCCAGCAGCGUCUGGAUGUCUGGGAGUCAGGGAACCCCAACUUUGGCCCCUAGCCUGGGCUGCAUUCUCCCACCCCCUGAGUGGUGCUACCCACAAACCCAUCACCCGAUGGUGGCAUAUGGUAAAAUGUAGUCUAGCAUCUCCUGUUUCUCCUGCCCAAGUUGUGUUCAGCGGCGUGGGACCACAUCUGGCACCUACAAAGUGGGGCAUACCCAACUGACACAUACCCCAGCUGGCAACCACACAGACCUACAUCGAAACUCUGGUCCCAACUAAGACGAUGGUCUUACUCUUUAUCCGUGGCUGGUCUGGAACUCAUUAGCCUCAAACUGCCUUGAGCAAGAUACGCCUGCCUCUGUUUCCCAAGUGCUGGGAUUAAAGGGUCCCACAAAGAUUACAACAUACCAAUUAAUUGUCCUGUCUAGUUACUUCUUGGCUGUGACAGAAUCACACCUUCCACAUUUGUGAUAACCUUUACACUGUUAAAAAGUCAGGUAUUUUGUCCUUUGAAACUAGAGCUUUGUAGCUUAGAGCCAUCUUGCUGUCUAGAGCAAGCCAGGUUAGUGGGGACUCACAGUCCUCUUGGGUGCUGGAAUUAUAGGCACUCCUCACUGCACCUGGCAGGUGAGUUAUUUUGAAAGGUGUUUUCCUGUUAGAGUAGUCAUAAGAUUAUGAUAAUAUUGACUGAAAGAUCAGUUUUCCACCUAUCAUAUUUUAAAAGAUUUAUUUAUUUUUUAUUUAAUUUUAUGUAACUACACUGAAUCUAUCUUCUCACACACUAGAAGAGAGCAUUGGGUCCCAUUACAGAUGGUUGUGAACCACCAUGUGGUUGCUGGGAUUUGAA